rnacentral:rRNA from 1 species
UGAGGAAUAUUGGUCAAUGGACGGAAGUCUGAACCAGCCAUGCCGCGUGGAGGAUUAAGGCCUUCUGGGUUGUAAACUUCUUUUGUUAGGGAAGAAACCACCGAUUUCUAUUGGUGCCGACGGUACCUAACGAAUAAGCACCGGCUAACUCCGUGCCAGCAGCCGCGGUAAUACGGAGGGUGCAAGCGUUAUCCGGAUUUACUGGGUUUAAAGGGUGUGUAGGCGGACAUGUAAGUCAGAGGUGAAAUCUCCGAGCUUAACUCGGAAACUGCCUUUGAUACUAUUUGUCUUGAAUUUCGUUGAGGUUGGCGGAAUAUAUCAUGUAGCGGUGAAAUGCAUAGAUAUGAUAUAGAACACCGAUUGCGUAGGCAGCUGACUGGACGAACAUUGACGCUGAGGCACGAAAGCGUGGGUAGCGAACAGG